rnacentral:rRNA from 1 species
UACGAAGGGGGCUAGCGUUGCUCGGAAUUAUUGGGCGUAAAGGGCGCGUAGGCGGACAGUUUAGUCAGAGGUGAAAGCCCAGGGCUCAACCUUGGAACUGCCUUUGAUACUGGCUGUCUUGAGUUCGGGAGAGGUGAGUGGAAUGCCGAGUGUAGAGGUGAAAUUCGUAGAUAUUCGGCGGAACACCAGUGGCGAAGGCGACUCACUGGCCCGAUACUGACGCUGAGGCGCGAAAGCGUGGGGAGCAAACAGG